UAAUAUCUCCAAAGCAAUGCUCGUAAUGAACGAUCCAUCCGGAGUUCCAAGUUCAACACAAGAUGGGUCAAAUUUGGGAACAUAGGAAAACGGUUACUAUCUGCAAAUGAAAGAGUCUUCUCAUGGGAAUGAAAAAACACACAAACACAAAAAUCUAUUUAUCAAUCUUGGUUUAAAGAGGCGAGUUUUAAUAUAUUCCAUUUAAUAUGUAGAUUAGGUUGUCAAUUACCUCCAAGGUCAGAUCACAUAAUGUCAAAGACAUCAUGAUAUUUUGAAGUUGAUAGAGUAGAUCAAGAGAGCUCGAGAUGCGACUUCCAUUCUUGUAUUUCUGGUCUGCCUUCUCUGCCAUCCAUAGCCACCCUUCUUUUUCACCCUUCUCCGAAACCCUAAUCCGUCGCUUAGUUUUCUCCAUCUUCUUCAAAGCAAAUUUUAAACUGCCUUUCCCCAUUCCAUUUCACGAGUUUUUCUACCCGUUUUCGCACUUUCUCAGAAACCAAGCCGCCUCUGCCACUCUCAACGCCCCCUCCCCGUUCCACCAUCAAGAAACUCUAUUCUCUUGCUUCUGCUGCCACCAACCGUCACCACAUUCCCUCACCUCUAUUACGGCCCAUACAUAAGUUUGCUUUUUCUCUCUAUCUCCCACUGUUUCUCCAAGAAAACCCUAGCCCUAAAAACAACCACCCAGUUUUACGAAUUUUAUGUAUGGUUUAUAUGAUAGGCUUCGUGAAGAACAAUACUACCAAAUUUAUGCAAUGGUUGAAGGUUUGUCAACACAUAACUAACCCGCCAGAUGUGUGAAGAAGAUGAUGAAGAUGAACUAAAAUGGCCUGAUGGACAGAUAUUGACUCAAAUGUAGACUCUGGAUCGAUGUUAGAAGUUGUGAGUGUAGAGUAUAUAUGCUACUGAGAUUGUAUGCUGCAAAAUUCGUUUUUCCAAGUUGAAGCUUUCAUUAAACUAUGCGCUUGACAAAUCCAUCAGCAAGUUGGUUUAUUUUUAACAGAAGCAAGCUUAGAUUUUCAUUGUUGCAGAUAUGUCAACAAAGCGUUUUCAUUGCUCCACAUCCAGCCAAGGUCGCCUCAAGGUGUUGGGUGGGGGUGAACAUCAACUUUACAAUAAGGUGCUGGUACUGGUACUUAUCUUACAGGUUUAAUUUGGUCAAAUUUUUUGCCACCCUUUCUUUGAGCUUGACUGUUAAAUGUAUAUGAUGCUAUAGAUGAAAGAUAUGUUCAAUGCUUAUGUUACAAGGUUAUGUUGUUCAACCAUGUGAUUUGGGGCUUACAAUGAAGCUUAUGUUAGAUAAACAAACCUAUGGUACAUCUUUCAAGGUUUUUAUUGCGUUUGACUAUAUUCUUCCAUGGUUAUCUUUUUGAAUUUCAAGUGCUGACUUAGUUUGACAUCAACAGUUGUAGAUAAUAGUUUAUCUAUCCAAAUUUGAUAUUGACCAUAUUGCCCUUGGACAAAAACUUAAAAUGAACAAUAUACCACAAGGACUAAAUUUGUAAUUUUCAUUUAUCCUUGAAUAAAAGUUUAUAACAUUGUUAAAAAUGGUUUUCCUUUUUGAAAGUUUAAAGCAAAAUCAAAGGAUAAUACAUUAUUCCCAAAUAUGGUUCCUGUGGUGUACUUCUUUCAACUUUCUAUGGGCAAAAUUUUCAUUUAAAAGUUUUAAUAGCUAUACUAUUAUAUAGAAACUUUUUAAAAGAAACCUAAAAAACAAGGACUAAUAGAAACUUUUUUGGCACUGAAAUUGUAAAAAUUAGUGAUCUAAAAUGUAUUUUAGUUGAAAAAAAAACAGAAAUUGCAUUCUUAUUUAUGACACCUUACGUUCCUCUAUAUGUGUUUUGUGGCAAUAUACAUACGGCUAUAUACAAAAGUAGGAAUGCAUAUUAAUUAAUUUAAUUUAUUAUUGUAAUUUACUUUUUUUUUUGUAUAAUGCGUUUGUGUCACUAUUGUAGUUCAUCUUUUAACAUUUUCCUUAGUCUAAGAUUUCAAAGUCCAUGGUGGUUGUGAUUUAGGAUGGUUAGUGUAUACCAUAAUACGUGUGUGGUGGCAUCUGUAGCGCUAGGGCUGGUUCAGGGCGAGACAUGUAGCAGUUCACAACCAUGUAAUGAUUUUAAAGCAGGCUUUCACAUUUAUAAAAUAAAAAAGUAUAUUAAUAUUUUCAAUAGUUCACAAAUUGUAUGAUUUUGUACAAACACCAGGAUUCAACUUGUAUUAAUGAAAAGCUUCAACCUCAUCCUUAAAAUGUUGAAGAAGAUCA